rnacentral:rRNA from 1 species
GUAGGUGGCAAGCGUUGUCCGGAAUUAUUGGGCGUAAAGCGCGCGCAGGCGGUCCUUUAAGUCUGAUGUGGAAGCCCACGGCUCAACCGUGGAGGGUCAUUGGAAACUGGGGGACUCGAGUACAGAAGAGGAAAGCGGAAUUCCAAGUGUAGCGGUGAAAUGCGUAGAGAUUUGGAGGAACACCAGUGGCGAAGGCGGCUUUCUGGUCUGUAACUGACGCUGAGGCGCGAAAGCGUGGGGAGCAAACAGGAUUAGAUACCCUGGUAGUCCACGCCGUAAACGAUGAGUGCUAAGUGUUAGGGGGUUUCCCGCCCCCUUAGUGCUGCAGCUAACGCAUUAAGCACUCCGCCUGGGGAGUACGGCCGCAAGGCUG